rnacentral:rRNA from 1 species
UACGGGAGGCAGCAGUGGGGAAUCUUGCGCAAUGGGCGAAAGCCUGACGCAGCGACGCCGCGUGAGUGAUGAAGGCCCUCGGGUUGUAAAGCUCUGUGGAGGGGGACGAAUAAGUGUCGUCGAAUAGACGGCAUGAUGACGGUACCCCUUUAGCAAGCACCGGCUAACUCUGUGCCAGCAGCCGCGGUAAGACAGAGGGUGCAAACGUUGUUCGGAAUUACUGGGCGUAAAGCGCGUGUAGGCUGCUCGGAAAGUCGGAUGUGAAAGCCCUGGGCUCAACCCAGGAAGAGCAUUCGAAACUCCCGAGCUCGAGUACCGGAGAGGAAGGCGGAAUUCUCGGKGUAGAGGKGAAAAUCGUAGAUAUCGAGAGGAACACCUGUGGCGAAGGCGGCCUUCUGGACGGUUACUGACGCUGAGACGCGAAAGCGUGGGGAGCAAACAGGAUUAGAUACCCUGGUAGUCCACGCCGUAAACGAUGGGUGCUAGGUGUCGCGGGAUUUGACCCCUGCGGUGCCGUAGCUAACGCAUUAAGCACCCCGCCUGGGGAGUACGGCCGCAAGGCUAAAACUUAAAUGAAUUGACGG